GGCAGCAGCUCAGUGGUAGAGCUCCCGCUUGGUUUGCGGGUAGGCGUGGGUUCGAUUCCCGGCUGCUUCCC
rnacentral:tRNA from 1 species